UGGGCAGAAUUCUUUUCUUCUACAUGCUCUCUUUAUAAGAGAUGAAAGAUUGGUCUGUGUUUGCUCUCAGGUCAGGACUCCACUAUACCAGCAGACUGGCAGAUUCCCAACAGAAAGAUACUCCCCACCUUUGAGAACUUGUGAUCUGAAAGUCAGACAAGAAGCUCUGAACAGAGACACAGGAAAAUUCUGUUUGAAAAAAAAUAUUUUGCCCUUUCAUGUGGAUUCUCUCACCCUUUGCAUGUAUCUUGCCUGUGGAAGGUCUGUCUUCUAAGAGGGAGAAGAAGCUGUGACAAACCUUUCCUGGUGGUAAGUGCAAGUGGUUGUGAUGUGACAGCUGGCAGAAAAUACAGGUGAGAGUGAUUCUUUACACAAACCAGAGUUCAUGUCCAAGCUCCUUCUCAAUCCUGUGUUUUAGUGAUGUGGAUGUGCCUGCUGUGUGAAGUGAGUGCUGACUUUUGGCUGUACUAGUGGUAACAAAGGGUUACAGAAAUGCUGAAACUCAAAAAUACAAACAUAAAUACCAGGCCUCUGGCCCAUCCACUGGG
rnacentral:lncRNA from 1 species